GUUUUAAUAAUUUAAUUAAAAAUAUUGGUCUUGUAAACCAAAAAUAAGUAAAACUUUUAAAACU
rnacentral:tRNA from 1 species